rnacentral:rRNA from 1 species
UGGGGAAUUUUGGACAAUGGGCGAAAGCCUGAUCCAGCAAUGCCGCGUGUGUGAAGAAGGCCUUCGGGUUGUAAAGCACUUUUGUCCGGAAAGAAAUCCUUGGCUCUAAUACAGUCGGGGGAUGACGGUACCGGAAGAAUAAGCACCGGCUAACUACGUGCCAGCAGCCGCGGUAAUACGUAGGGUGCAAGCGUUAAUCGGAAUUACUGGGCGUAAAGCGUGCGCAGGCGGUUUGCUAAGACCGAUGUGAAAUCCCCGGGCUCAACCUGGGAACUGCAUUGGUGACUGGCAGGCUAGAGUAUGGCAGAGGGGGGUAGAAUUCCACGUGUAGCAGUGAAAUGCGUAGAGAUGUGGAGGAAUACCGAUGGCGAAGGCAGCCCCCUGGGCCAAAUACUGACGCUCAUGCACGAAAGCGUGGGGAGCAAACAGGAUUAGAUACCCUGGUAGUCCACGCCCUAAAACGAUGUCAACUAGUUGUUGGGGAUUCAUUUCCUUAGUAACGUAGCUAACGCGUGAAGUUGACCGCCUGGGGAGUACGGUCGCAAGAUUAAAACUCAAAGGAAUUGACGGGGUCAUACUGUUUCCU